rnacentral:rRNA from 1 species
GUAGGGAAUAUUGGGCAAUGGUCGGAAGACUGACCCAGCCAUGCCGCGUGCAGGAAGACGGCCCUCUGGGUUGUAAACUGCUUUUAUCUGGGAAGAAAAAGGCCAUGCGUGGCAAAUUGCCGGUACCAGAUGAAUAAGCACCGGCUAACUCCGUGCCAGCAGCCGCGGUAAUACGGAGGGUGCGAGCGUUGUCCGGAUUUAUUGGGUUGAAAGGGUGCGUAGGCGGCUGAUUAAGUCAGCGGUGAAAGACUUCGGCUUAACCGGAGCAGUGCCGUUGAUACUGGUUGGCUUGAGUGUCGGAGGGGUACAUGGAAUUGAUGGUGUAGCGGUGAAAUGCAUAGAUACCAUCAGGAACACCGAUAGCGAAGGCAUUGUACUGGCCGACAACUGACGCUGAUGCACGAAAGUGUGGGGAUCGAACAGGAUUAGAAACCCUAGUAGUCC